rnacentral:rRNA from 1 species
UGCAAGUCGAGCGGGGAAGGGUAGCUUGCUACCUGACCUAGCGGCGGACGGGUGAGUAAUGCUUAGGAAUCUGCCUAUUAGUGGGGGACAACAUUCCGAAAGGAAUGCUAAUACCGCAUACGCCCUACGGGGGAAAGCAGGGGAUCUUCGGACCUUGCGCUAAUAGAUGAGCCUAAGUCAGAUUAGCUAGUUGGUGGGGUAAAGGCCUACCAAGGCGACGAUCUGUAGCGGGUCUGAGAGGAUGAUCCGCCACACUGGGACUGAGACACGGCCCAGACUCCUACGGGAGGCAGCAGUGGGGAAUAUUGGACAAUGGGCGAAAGCCUGAUCCAGCCAUGCCGCGUGUGUGAAGAAGGCCUUUUGGUUGUAAAGCACUUUAAGCGAGGAGGAGGCUACUUGGAUUAAUACUCUAGGAUAGUGGACGUUACUCGCAGAAUAAGCACCGGCUAACUCUGUGCCAGCAGCCGCGGUAAUACAGAGGGUGCGAGCGUUAAUCGGAUUUACUGGGCGUAAAGCGUGCGUAGGCGGCUUCUUAAGUCGGAUGUGAAAUCCCUGAGCUUAACUUAGGAAUUGCAUUCGAUACUGGGAAGCUAGAGUAUGGGAGAGGAUGGUAGAAUUCCAGGUGUAGCGGUGAAAUGCGUAGAGAUCUGGAGGAAUACCGAUGGCGAAGGCAGCCAUCUGGCCUAAUACUGACGCUGAGGUACGAAAGCAUGGGGAGCACACAGGAUUAGAUACCCUGGUAGUCCAUGCCGUAAACGAUGUCUACUAGCCGUUGGGGCCUUUGAGGCUUUAGUGGCGCAGCUAACGCGAUAAGUAGACCGCCUGGGGAGUACGGUCGCAAGACUAAAACUCAUAUGAAUUGACUGGG